UGACCUCUGACCUCAAAUCAGG
rnacentral:rRNA from 1 species